AUACGUAGGGUGCAAGCGUUAAUCGGAAUUACUGGGCGUAAAGCGUGCGCAGGCGGUUUUGUAAGACAGUGGUGAAAUCCCCGGGCUCAACCUGGGAACUGCCAUUGUGACUGCAAGGCUGGAGUGCGGCAGAGGGGGAUGGAAUUCCGCGUGUAGCAGUGAAAUGCGUAGAUCUGCGGAGGAACACCGAUGGCGAAGGCAAUCCCCUGGGCCUGCACUGACGCUCAUGCACGAAAGCGUGGGGAGCAAACAGGAUUAGAGACCCUGGUAGUCCACGCCCUAAACGAUGUCAACUGGUUGUUGGGGAUUUAUUUUCUCAGUAACGAAGCUAACGCGUGAAGUUGACCGCCUGGGGAGUACGGCCGCAAGGUUAAAACUUAAAGGAAUUGGCGGGG
rnacentral:rRNA from 1 species